rnacentral:rRNA from 1 species
AUUGAACGCUGGCGGCAGGCUUAACACAUGCAAGUCGAGCGGGGUGAUGGUGCUUGCACUAUCACUUAGCGGCGGACGGGUGAGUAAUGCUUAGGAAUCUGCCUAUUAGUGGGGGACAACAUCUCGAAAGGGAUGCUAAUACCGCAUACGUCCUACGGGAGAAAGCAGGGGAUCACUUGUGACCUUGCGCUAAUAGAUGAGCCUAAGUCGGAUUAGCUAGUUGGUGGGGUAAAGGCCUACCAAGGCGACGAUCUGUAGCGGGUCUGAGAGGAUGAUCCGCCACACUGGGACUGAGACGGCCCAGACUCCUACGGGAGGCAGCAGUGGGGAAUAUUGGACAAUGGGGGGAACCCUGAUCCAGCCAUGCCGCGUGUGUGAAGAAGGCCUUAUGGUUGUAAAGCACUUUAAGCGAGGAGGAGGCUCUUUUGGUUAAUACCCAAGAUGAGUGGACGUUACUCGCAGAAUAAGCACCGGCUAACUCUGUGCCAGCCGCCGCUGUAAAAC